rnacentral:rRNA from 1 species
AUGUCCCGCUCCAAGGCCGACCCUUCCGAUGUUGGUUCCUUCGCCGGCGCCAUGUUCACCUCCGACCGCCUCAACGAGCUCCACAUCAUGGACCACGUACCCGUCGUCCUCGACCUCGACUCGCCAUCCUACAACGCGUGGUGCACCUACUUCGCGCUGUUGUUCCUCUCCAACCGUCUCAUCGAGCAUGUUGACGGGAGCGUUGACAUCCGCGACAUGAAGGACGACGACGAGUGGCUCGCCGUGGACGCCUGCAUCGUCAAGUGGCUCUUCCUCACCAUCUCCGCAGUCGUGUGGCGCCCUUGCGCUCCCUGCGCCGCGGCCACCUGCUUCUUCGGUGGCCCGUCCGGCCUUCCCGACCGGACCCUCAUCGCCGGUUGUGGUACAGCCGGCCUCAUCUUCGUCCUCGUCGGUCCAGGAGGAUCUGACCUCCUCCCCGCUGGCCUCGACUCCAGCCCAUGCAGGCACGAUGGCCUCUUCAUCGACCUUGGCCGUCGCCUCCCCCGUGGCGUCACCCCUUGUGGGGUCUUCUACGACGGCUGCGGUCUCGCCCGCCGACACGUCGCGCGGGGCGCCUUCUACGCCGCCUGUGGUCUCACCCGCGGACCCGUCAUCGCCACCCGCGGCUCCCCACCGGCCGGAUUGAACCUCAUCGCCGCCGGGGACGAACCACUUGGUGUGAAGAAAUCGCCAUGGCCGCAACACCUGCACACCAUAGCCUCUGAACAACAGCUGGAUCUGCCUCCCAUAAGGCACGCACGCCGGGAGGAAUGGAGUCGGCCGCCUUUCGGCCAGAAGAAGCAGCGAACCAGCGGAGACCGGCAGCCAAUCGAGGGCGCCGUAGCUCCACCAUGGAAUCAACUGCUGAUGUGCACGAACUCGAUCUGCCGGCUUCAAGUAUCUGCAACGCCCCUGCUCCUCAUCCACCAGCAAAAGGGAGACCGACCACCUAACCCAUCCUCGCGCCGGACGGCAGAGCCGCCGGAGAGAGAGAGGGAGAGGGGCGGUGACGGAGUGCACGAGGAGACUCUCAACAGGAGCAGGGAAGAGAAGGGUGACGAAUCUCCCCUCUUUCAAUCCAAAAAUUGCUUCUCCUUCCUCCCGCCGAGUCUCUUGCUCGCGCCCACCCCCUCCCUCCUAGCGUUGAUGGAAGAAACAUGGCCAGCCCUCGGCCUGGCGGCCGGCGACGCGGCCUUCCCGCCCCCGCCUCCCCGUGGCGUGGGGCGAGGCCGCGACGGCGCGACGAGGCCGCUCGAACCGUGUGCACCAGCAAGAAGGCCAGCUCGAACAAACAGGAUGCCCUGCAAAACGAUUUCGAACGAGGUGCGUGUAGUUAGCAGAUUAGCCGCUCAUGAGUGCUCUGCAAUGCCAUAUGCCAUUGCUCAGAUUGUCAUGGCCAAACUCUUCAGGCGGUAUCUUAAGCUUUCGCUAAUGAGUUAA